rnacentral:rRNA from 1 species
UACGUAGGCAGCGAGCGUUGUUCGGAGUUACUGGGCGUAAAGAGCUCGUAGGCGGUCUGUUGCGUCGGCUGUGAAAACCCGGGGCUCAACUCCGGGCCUGCAGCCGAUACGGGCAGACUAGAGUUCGGCAGGGGAGACUGGAAUUCCUGGUGUAGCGGUGAAAUGCGCAGAUAUCGGGAGGAACACCUGUGGCGAAAGCGGCGCACUGGACCAUAACUGACACUCAGGGACGAAAGCUAGGGGAGCGAAUGGG